CCUCCCGUAGGAGUCUGGACCGUGUCUCAGUUCCAGUGUGGCCGAUCACCCUCUCAGGUCGGCUAUGCAUCGUUGCCUUGGUAAGCCGUUACCUUACCAACUAGCUAAUGCAGCGCGGAUCCAUCUAUAAGUGACAGCAAGACCGUCUUUCACUUUUGAACCAUGCGGUUCAAAAUAUUAUCCGGUAUUAGCUCCGGUUUCCCGAAGUUAUCCCAGUCUUAUAGGUAGGUUAUCCACGUGUUACUCACCCGUCCGCCACUAACAUCAGAGAAGCAAGCUUCUCGUCCGUUCGCUCGACUUGCAUGUAUUAGGCACGCCGCCAGCGUUCAUCCUGAGCCAGGAUCAAACUCU
rnacentral:rRNA from 1 species